AAUGAGACACCACCUCAGUGCGGAACAGCACCCCGCAGUCCCGGCUUCCUGAAUGUGGCUCCACGAAGAAGCACUCUCGCCGGGAAAACCGAGGAAGCUCCUUCAUUCCUGACAUCUAGGAGUUUAAAACCUCUGAAGUUGGGAGGUACAGCUUUAGAAGCCAUUCCCCAUGAGCUCCUUCUUUGCUGCAAAUAAAAUUUUCUUUCUGCAAC